rnacentral:rRNA from 1 species
GUGAGGAAUAUUGGACAAUGGGCGCAAGCCUGAUCCAGCCAUGCCGCGUGCAGGAAGACGCAUCUAUGGUGUGUAAACUGCUUUUGUACGGGAAGAAACACUCCCUCGUGAGGGAGCUUGACGGUACCGUAAGAAUAAGGAUCGGCUAACUCCGUGCCAGCAGCCGCGGUAAUACGGAGGAUCCAAGCGUUAUCCGGAAUCAUUGGGUUUAAAGGGUCCGUAGGCGGUUUAAUAAGUCAAUGGUGAAAGCCCAUCGCUCAACGAUGGAACGGCCAUUGAUACUGUUAGACUUGAAUUACAAGGAAGUAACUAGAAUAUGUAGUGUAGCGGUGAAAUGCUUAGAUAUUACAUGGAAUACCAAUUGCGAAGGCAGGUUACUACUUGUGGAUUGACGCUGAUGGACGAAAGCGUGGGGAGCGAACAGGAUUAGAAACCCGGGUAGUCC